GAUGAACGCUAGCUACAGGCUUAACACAUGCAAGUCGAGGGGAAACGACAUCGAAAGCUUGCUUUUGAUGGGCGUCGACCGGCGCACGGGUGAGUAACGCGUAUCCAACCUGCCCACCACUUGGGGAUAACCUUGCGAAAGUAAGACUAAUACCCAAUGACGUCUCUAGAAGACAUCUGAAAGAGAUUAAAGAUUUAUCGGUGAUGGAUGGGGAUGCGUCUGAUUAGCUUGUUGGCGGGGUAACGGCCCACCAAGGCGACGAUCAGUAGGGGUUCUGGGGGGAAGGGCCCCCACAUUGGAACUGAGACACGGUCCAAACUCCUACGGGAGGCAGCAGUGAGGAAUAUUGGUCAAUGGGCGAGAGCCUGAACCAGCCAAGUAGCGUGCAGGAUGACGGCCCUAUGGGUUGUAAACUGCUUUUAUAAGGGAAUAAAGUGAGUCUCGUGAGACUUUUUGCAUGUACCUUAUGAAUAAGGACCGGCUAAUUCCGUGCCAGCCGCCGCGGUAA
rnacentral:rRNA from 1 species